GAUAAAUGCGGACCUGCUUCUUCCUCUUUUCGCAGUAACGGUGUUUCGAUAACUCAGUUAGACUUCGAGAUCUACAUUUUCGACAAAGGCCUGGUGUAAUAUUACAUACUUGAUGAAGGUUUAAUGACACGAAUGAGUACAAGUACAUUACAUUUUUCGACGAAGGCCUUCUGUAAUUUCAUACACUUCUUACGCAACAUUCAAUAGAUUUAUUUACUGUAUUAUCAUUUCGACCAAGGCGAAUUCGACACUUCAGUUACACAAGGUUAGUAACUUUUGUUCACAAAAUCCAAAUGGAGGCAAAUACAGAACAAUCAAACUUAGUCAUUCCAGUCAGUUACUGAAGCACAGUGAAAACUGUCGGGAGCAAUGCAACUGAUGGCAUGUCAAACUUCCAGUGACUGUCCCUGUCCAUAUAUUUCAAGACAGUACAAAUCUUGUAAUCAUUUUGUUUAUGCAAUGUACGUUAUUAUGUAUCAUUUCAGCACAAUCAAACUUAGUCAUUCCAGUCAGUUACUGAAGCACAGCGAAAACUGUCUGAAUUAGUGCUGCUGAUGGCAUGUAAUUACUCUACUACCACUACCAGUGACAGUCAAUGUCCAUAUAUUUUCAAGUGUGCGAAAUUAGUACUCGUCUACUUCUUAGUGUUAUUUGAAUGCAAUGUAUGUCAUAAAAAUAUUUUUUCAACACUAUAAUAUCAACAUUCUCAUUCCUGUCAGUUUCUGAAAAUCAGCUAAAGCAAUCGCUACCAAUGCAGCUGAUAACAGCAAUUCUUUUUGUUCCCAAUGCCCAUCCAUGACAAUAUAUUUCACGCAUGUGACAAUCAUGUAAUCAUCCUGUUUUUUGUGUUCUAUUCAUGCAAUAAAUAAAUUCAGUAUUUUCAAAUCAUUGGUGCUACAAAACUAUUCUCAUUAUAUAUUAUUCAUAUUUUAUAAAAUGCUGUCAUGUCAAAUUUUGUGUCCUAUAAAUCAUUAUGAAGUCGGCAUUUUAUAUACAACUUUUGUACUCCUCCUAAAUAAACAUACAAAUCUUGUUUUAUGUAAACUUUGUAUAUGUGACCCGUCACAGCAAAACCAGGCGCAUGUCGCUCUGAGCUUGGCAGGUUGAGACGGACUGUUCUAAUCUUUCAUUAGCGACACCAUUUCUUACCCGAGUGCCUCCUUCAUUCAUACAUCUUGUACUUUAACUCAAGAUACCCAUCUUUGAAUAUUUUUAGUAUACCAAGUACUACAAUGUCAAUGUAUUGAAGUCAUGUUCUUGUAGUGUUAUUGGCUUUCUAUUAUCUUGUCAAAAUACCACUUGGUUCUCGCAAAAUCUCAAUAAAAACAAAUGCUAUUGCAUGUAUUGCAUAUUCUAACAGCUAUCCACUGUAUCGACUUAUCCAUCAUCUGUACUAUUUGUCACAAAAAUGUUAUAUUAUGUAAAUCAUAUUUCAUUACAUAAUGCACACUGCCAAUUACUGCUGAACCAUUCAUAUGUCAUUUAAAUAAAUAAUUUUCAACUUUUUAAAA